UACGUAGGGGGCAAGCGUUGUCCGGAUUUAUUGGGCGUAAAGAGCGUGUAGGCGGCCACACAGGUCCGCUGUGAAAACUCGAGGCUCAACCUCGAGCUGUCGGUGGAAACCGUGUGGCUAGAGUCCGGAAGAGGAGAGUGGAAUUCCCGGUGUAGCGGUGAAAUGCGCAGAUAUCGGGAAGAACACCGGUGGCGAAGGCGGCGACCUGGUCCUUUUACUGACGCUGAGGCGCGAAAGCGUGGGGAGCGAACCGG
rnacentral:rRNA from 1 species